GAUGAAGAACGCAGCAAUGCGAUAAGUAGUGUGAAUUGCAGAAUUCAGUGAAUCAUCGAAUCUUUGAACGCACAUUGCGGCCAUAGGUAUUCCUUUGGCCAUGCCUGUUCGAGCGUCAUUUACACCCUCAAGCCUAGCUUGGUGUUGGGCGUCUGUCCCGCCGUUCUCGCGCGCGGACUCGCCUCAAAGUCAUUGGCGGCGGUCGUGCCGGCCCCCUCGCGCAGCACAUUUGCGCUUCUCGGAGGCCCGGCGGAUCCGCGCUCCAGCAAGACCUUUCACGACUUGACCUCGGAUCAGGUAGGGAUACCCGCUGAACUUAAGCAUAUCAAUAAGCGGAGGA
rnacentral:misc_RNA from 1 species